AACGGUAACAGGUCUCGGACGCUGACGAGUGGCGAACGGGUGACUAAUACAUCGGAACGUGCCCUGUCGUGGGGGAUAACUACUCGAAAGAGUAGCUAAUACCGCAUACGAUCUGAGGAUGAAAGCGGGGGACCUUCGGGCCUCGCGCGAUUGGAGCGGCCGAUGGCAGAUUAGGUAGUUGGUGGGAUAAAAGCUUACCAAGCCGACGAUCUGUAGCUGGUCUGAGAGGACGACCAGCCACACUGGGACUGAGACACGGCCCAGACUCCUACGGGAGGCAGCAGUGGGGAAUUUUGGACAAUGGGCGAAAGCCCGAUCCAGCAAUGCCGCGUGCAGGAUGAGGGCCUUCGGGUUGUAAACCGCUUUUGUACGGAACGAAAAAGCUCCUCCUAAUACGAGAGGCCCAUGACGGUACCGUAAGAAUAAGCACCGGCUAACUACGUGCCAGCAGCCGCGGUAAUACGUAGGGUGCGAGCGUUAAUCGGAAUUACUGGGCGUAAAGCGUGCGCAGGCGGUUAUGUAAGACAGAUGUGAAAUCCCCGGGCUCAACCUGGGGAACUGCAUUUGUGACUGCAUGGCUAGAGUACGGUAGAGGGGGAUGGAAUUCCGCGUGUAGCAGUGAAAUGCGUAAAGAUGCGGAGGAACACCGAUGGCGAAGGCAAUCCCCUGGACCUGUACUGACGCUCAUGCACGAAAGCGUGGGGAAGCAACAGGAUUA
rnacentral:rRNA from 1 species